GGAUCUGUUAAUAUCAUUACUCAAAAUAACAGACAGACAAAAAGAUAUUCAAUCUCUCAUGUGAGGGAGCAACCUGAGUGAAAGUUAAGCAAAUCUUAAAAUCUUGGUAAAUCUUCAAAAAGCCUUUAAAAUUCUCAUCUGUAUUGCAAAUCUCUGAGAAGGAAAUAAAGCAGCCAGUGUUGUCAAAAAUAACUUGAACAUGAAAUUCAUGUCGUGCAGAAAAUAUUGUAGGACUUGUGUGCUACAGAGCCUAUCUUAGAAAAUCACCUAAUGGUUACAUUCUUGAGGACCUACUAGGGACUGAUGUUGAAGCUGAAGCUUCAAUACUUUGGUCUCUUGAUGCGAACAGUGGAUUUACUGGAAAAGACCCUGAUGCUGGGAAAGACUGAGGGCAGGAGAAGAGGGAGGCAGAGAAUGAGGUGGUUCAAUAGCAUCACCAACUCAAUGGACAAGAAUUUGAGCAAACUCUGGGAGACAGUGGAGGACAGAGGAGCCUGUCAUGCUGGAGGUCCAUGGGAUCACAAAGAAUUGGACAUGACUUAGUGACUGAACAACAACUAGGGACCAGGGGCUCUGCCAACCUUAAGACUCUUAGUCCUGACAAUCCUCUGCAAAAUUCUCAUUAUCCCGCUUUGCAAAUGAGGAUUUGUUUUAAAAUCACUCAGCCACUGAGUCUCUAACUCCCCAGUCCUCCUCCCUUUGCAUCAGGCUUCCUUCCACAUCAUAGAUACACGAGAUCUUCAGAAUCAGACUUCCCCAUCUUUCUCGAGAACACCCGAUCACUGCAUUUUGCUGAGGUGCUUUCGACAAUUUCUGAAGUCCCUUCCUGGGAUGCAGGAUUUCAUGCAUCACAGGACUGCUGAUACCAGCCUCCAAUCUGUUGGCAUUCACCUGCCGUUACACACAGCUUCCGGUGGAAUCAUUCGGAUUUUAGAUUACUUCUCUUCCUUUGUUCCCCAGAACCUGACAUCUAUAAACAUGACAACACCGGCAGAAAAGGGCAGGAGGAACAGUCUCCAGCUUCCUAAUGGGGGCUGGUGUGAUGUGGGGAGGAGAGGGAGGGUGCAGAUAAGGUCCUGAUGUCUCAGGCAGCCCUGGAAUUGACACGUACCACUCCAGUGCUUGCAGUCUCCGCCAUCACACACUGCUCGGUGUUAAAUUUAGAAUAAAAACCAAUUAAAAGAUAACAAGGAAACAUAUGCUCGGGAUGGCCAGAUGACUGGGUCUGGGCUGGUUGGAGGAAGUGUUCGCAUCGUGCCUUGAGCUGGGUUCAAGGUGUUUCCACUUGGGGUUCCGGACAAAGCACAGGCUACUCGUGAGGUAAGGAUGCAGAUCUCAGUCAGCAGGACAAGACAGCCGCCCACUGUCUUCCUCACCUCAGCCUUCCUUGGAUCCUCCCACCUCCCUGCUGAUCCCUCAUGGUCUCCUUUGCUGAACUACCCCUCCACCUGCCAUCUUCACCUGGCCUCUAACUGUGCAAGCAAUUCAGAGUUUGGGCUGGGACCAGCUUUGCUUCUAUGUCUUCCUCCCCGGAGAGUUCAAUCAUGCUGUCCCACAGAUGCUGACUAGCCAAACAAAAGAAGAGAAGACAGAAGAUGAGGCUGGCAAAAGAAAGAGCUAUGCUUGGCCUCAACAUCUAGAAUCCCACAGUGGGCCAGGAGCCUUCUCUGACUACCCAUGUACUCCUGACGCCUAGCACGGCACUGAUCUACAGCAAAUGACAUACGUUUCUGAAUGAAGGCAUACACAUCAUUACUUUGCAGAGGAACUCAGCCUUCCCUCAUGGUGCUGCUAAUCGAGGUCUAUGUGCCCUUGACCCUGCUGUCACCAAUAUAUCAGUCGUUGUGUCAAAGGGUACUAGUGAAUUUCGUAGAGGGAAGUUGAUCUGAUUGGAAAACCAUCUUCCUCUCAUCAGUAACAGAGACAGAAAUGACAUACACUGGGGCCUUUGACUGUUGUAACAUUAACCAGCUUCAUUGUGUAGUGUAGCUGGCAGUUGGGGCCACAUUCGAAAAUGAUGUCAACUACUCGCAUUUUUUUCUAAAUUAAUGACUUACCUAAUCCAUUUUUUUUUUCUGCUGAUUUCCUUGACAUUAGUUUUUUCUUAUGUAUUUUUAAUUUUUUCAUUUAAUUUUCAUCUUUUAGUCAUUGAACCAACUUCCAAAGAGUUCCAUGAGAUUCAGGGAGACAGUCUCUGAUGACAGAGGAAUGCAAACUAGUAAUAAGUAGUGGCCAAUGGAUAAGCUUUGAUGAAAGGGGUUUGUUGAUUUGUUGGUUUAAGUCAAUGUAGUUUUAUGUCUUGUGUUGCAUUCCUAUACAAGUUGCAUUCCUACUUGCUUUUAGAAAAAGCAAUGAUAGGAAAGGUGGUAAAAGAAAAACUAUUGUUGGCUCCUACAGCACCAAGUGGUAGCCAGAAAGUUGAAAUAACCAUCACGUAUUGGAGGUCCACACAUGGAUUUGCCCCAGUUCCUAGUAUAUAAUUCCAGUCCUACCUUGUGCUGCUCACUCAGUUUUAAAGACUAGCCUAUUCUUCCUGUGCCAAAUCCUAGGACAUGACAUAGAUCCUGAGACAGGGCAAGUGCAUGAUAUCCCCCACACGAAACAAUCAAACCUGGAGAUAUGGAAGAGGGAUGAUGAGAGGGAGACUAGCCACGGGCUGAAGGAAAAGGUGUUUGAGGCAAUGCUGUCUUAGACAACAGGCUGCUGUUUCCCUUGGAAGGGGAAAAGGAGGAGACAAAAGUAUGGCACUCACUUACUUAUUCAACCAACAUGUACUGACUGCCUGCUAGAUGCCAUGCUUGGCAUUGUGUGUUGCAAGAGAUGGGGUAGGAGUAGGGAGUGAUCUCGGAGAUUCGUUAGCUGUAGCCCCCACCUUUCAGAAAUUGUUGACCCCCUUGUGCCUCUGAGAACACAAGAGUAUUCCUCUAAAGCACGUUAUUAAGGGAGAACAGGAAAAGAUAGGAGCCUAACAAAAACACAGAAACUAUUAGUCAAUUAUCUCUCAACUCCAACACCCACUUACGCUGGAACUUGGGUUGUUACUAGAGCCAAGGUCUCCCCUCUGGGGCUUAAGGGGAACCCAAGCCUGCAUCUGUAUGCCGCCGGUGCAACCAGACAGUUCAGGUUUUGAGUCAAAAGUAAAGGGAAGGCUGCUGCAGCUGGACACCUGCAUGAAUUUCCCCCUUCAGAAGAUGCACCUGACAGCUCCUUUGCACUUAAAAAGCAGCAACACCGGGCUGCUUAUCAAAGCUUCCCAGGGAUUCUUUUCCACAGAGAGCACAGUCUUAUAGCCUCCCUUCCCCCAUCAAAAAAAAAAAAAAUCCCUCUCAUAUGGGUGGGGUUUAUUUCCUGGUUUUUUCUCAGCAAAAGAGCUACAUAACUGGGACUGAAAAUAGCUCCCAAAAGAUGUGAUUCUGGUCUUGAUUUUUGUAAUGAAGGUUUGACGUCCCUGUUCCACUGGGCUAGUUAGUGAUUUGUGACUUCUAAAAGACACAGCGGUGUUUCUAGGAAGAACACAUUUAUCCAGUUUUACUCUCUGACAUUUUGAUCAGCUGCUAUUUUGUUCAAAAAUUAGUGAACUGAACUGAAAUUUUUAUUGAAAUAAUGCUAGUAAUAAUAAUAAUAAUAAUAGUGCUAAUAAUGAGUCAAAAUGCAUAGAACAGUUACAGGAUGCUAGAAACUCUGUUUCAUAAAUAAUUAUUGUAUCUGAUCCUUACUUGUAAGCUAAGUAUCAAUAGCCCUAUUUUACAGACAGAGAAAAUGAGGCUCACAGCCAUUAAGUAAACUUAAUAAAAAUUCUGACGCCUA